rnacentral:rRNA from 1 species
CAUGCAAGUCGAACGAAGUAGCAAUACUUAGUGGCAGACGGGUGAGUAACAUGUGGGUAUCUACCCUUUGGCCUGGAAUAACACGAGGAAACUUGUGCUAAUACCGGAUAAGUCUUUACGGAGAAAGCUUUAUGCACCAUUGGAUGAGCCCGCACUUGAUUAGUUUGUUGGUAGGGUAAUGGCCUACCAAGACUAUGAUCAAUAGCUGAUUUGAGAGGAUGAUCAGCCACAUUGGGACUGAGACACGGCCCAAACUCCUACGGGAGGCAGCAGUGGGGAAUCUUGCACAAUGGAGGAAACUCUGAUGCAGCGAUGCCGCGUGAGUGAAGAAGGCCUUUGGGUUGUAAAGCUCUUUCGUCGGGGAAGAAAAUGACUGUACCCGAAUAAGAAGGUCCGGCUAACUUCGUGCCAGCAGCCGCGGUAAUACGAAGGGACCUAGCGUAGUUCGGAAUUACUGGGCUUAAAGAGUUCGUAGGUGGUUGAAAUAGUUGGUGGUGAAAUCCCAGAGCUUAACUCUGGAACUGCCAUCAAAACUUUUCAGCUAGAGUAUGAUAGAGGAAAGCAGAAUUUCUAGUGUAGAGGUGAAAUUCGUAGAUAUUAGAAAGAAUACCAAUUGCGAAGGCAGCUUUCUGGAUCAUUACUGACACUGAGGAACGAAAGCAUGGGUAGCGAAGAGGAUUAGAUACCCUCGUAGUCCAUGCCGUAAACGAUGUGUGUUAGACGUUGGAAAUUUAUUUUCAGUGUCGCAGGGAAACCGAUAAACACACCGCCUGGGGAGUACGACCGCAAGGUUAAAACUCAAAUGAAUUGACGGGGACCCGCACAAGUAGUGGAGCAUGUGGUUUAAUUCGAAGAUAC